AUAAGCAUAUUUGUACAUUUUCCUAUAAUCAUCAUGCAAUCUUUCAGUUGCUAACUUUCUAUUUUCCAUUCCAUCUCUAAUCAAAUCCAUUUCAUGGAAGUUUUGAUUUAGGAUUGUGAAAGGAGUAAUGAGUUUCAUAAAACCUCCUGUAUCUACACCUUUAUUGUCCUCCUAUUGUUAUUAAAUUAAUAGAGCGGUUUGAGGAACAAUUAGGUACGGGAAGAGGACUAAAUUUUCGACUAGA
rnacentral:antisense_RNA from 1 species